rnacentral:lncRNA from 1 species
CCCACUUUCAAAUCAGGUGAUCCCAGUUUUCCUGUUUGGGAAUAUGACAGCUUCUUUGUCAUUCUAAUCAAACCAGGAUGAAUCGCGAUGUAAGAAGCUUGAUUUUGAUACAUAAAGUAGUGGAGAAUCACCAGGAAGCUGAAUAAAUCUCAUAGGAGUUAGGAUGAAGAAGCUAUCCCACUUUCAAAUCAGGUGAUCCCAGUUUUCCUGUUUGGGAAUAUGACAGCUUCUUUGUCAUUCUAAUCAAACCAGGAUGAAUCGCGAUGUAAGAAGCUUGAUUUUGAUACAUAAAGUAGUGGAGAACCACCAGGAAGCUGAAUAAUGUUGAGUUGAGCUGAGUAUAUGUAUGAAGAGCUAAGGAGUUGAAGAGGAAAGGAGAUGAGGAAGCUUAAGGGAGUUUAGGGAGAGCAUGGUACGGACGUCCGUACAAGCCGUACAGUCCGUACCAUCCAAGCCUCGACCAAAACUUACCUUGCACAAGUGAAAUGGUAACUAUGGAAGAGUUACUCAAGUGGAGAAGGAUCAGACCGUUGAAGGGAUAAGGGACGCGCAUUGCCAGGCUGGGACAGGCUGGAAAGCUAAAGCAACUUUAGUCCAAGAUGCCAUAAGCGUGUGGUGCUUGCUAGUGGUUGAUUUGAAUCCUUUACCUUGACUUCACAUGCUUUCUCUUUACCUUUGCGAUUUGUAAACCCUAGUAGCUCUCCUACAUAUUGUAACUCAUCAACACUAAUAAAGAUUAAGCAGUUUGAGUCUCUCUAAUCUCUUAGUCACUAUGGUUCUCUCUUAGACACUAAACGGCUCUCAAGUUACUUAAUCUUUCAUAAUCUCUUUCUAAACUUCACCUAAACUCUCUCUUACACUCUAGUUACUCUAAGGAUCUCUUAAUCUCAUAUGGUAUCAGAGCCAGGUUCAUUAGAAUCUGGGGUUUGAUCUUUAGAGAGUUACAAGCUGAAGGCUUUGAAGCUACACGCGAGUAGCUUUGAAGGUGUUGGAGCUGUGCUACGUUCUGUGUUUGUGCGUGAUUCAAGACUCAAGUUUGGUGUGUGUACGUGAUUCAAGACUCAAGAUUUCAUCAGAUUCAAGCUGUUCAAGUCAAGCUGAGUAAAGAUGGAGCAUGGGAUGAGCGUGAGGAUGAAGGUAGCGGUUACUUUCAAAGGUAGCAACUACCUUGUGUGGUCUCGGAUGGUGAAGACUGCGGUGGGGAGUAAGGGUUUAUGGGGGCACAUCACAACAGGGGAGGCUCCGAAACUCAUUACUCAGGGAGGAGAUCAAGAAGAGGUCUCUAAUGAAGCGGCUGUAGAGAAGUGGCAACAAGAAGACAUGCUGGUGAUGACGGUUCUACACGCAUCCUUGGAUCCAGCUACCUUGGAUGCCUACAGCUACUGUGAAUCAGCCAAAGAGCUGUGGGACACGCUGAAGAAGGUGUAUGGGAACACUUCCAACCUUAGCCGUGUGUUUGAAGUGAAGCUAGCUAUCAACCGGCUUGUGCAAGAGGAUAUGGAGUUCACAAAGCACUUGGGGAGGUUCAGGUCCUUGUGGUCCGAGCUAGAGAUGCUGAGGCCGAGCACAACUGACCCUGAUCAGCUGAAUGAGAGGCGCGAGCAAGAUAAGGUCUUUGGGCUGCUCCUCACACUGAACCCGGCCUACACUCAACUCAUCCAGCACAUGUUGAGGGCAGACAAGCUUCCAGACCUUGAGGAAGUGUGUGCACAAAUCCAAAGGGAGCAGGGGUCUAUGGGGCUGUUUGGAGGAAAGGGGGAGCUCUCUCUUGCCAAUCAAGCAGCUCAUGAGGACUCAACCGAAGCUCCACAAGCAAACAAGGCAUCUCACGGGAAGUAUGAGGACAGGAAGUUCAAUGGCAACUGUGAUCAUUGCAAGAAGCAUGGUCAUAAGAAGAGCCAAUGCUGGAUACUACACCCACACCUCAAGCCGGCCAAGUUCAUGAAGGAGCGUGAGGGAAGGGCAAAUGUGACUGAAGGAUCAAGCGGAGCUGGCACCAUCAAGACAAGUGAAGUGGAUGGACAUGGAGGCAAUGAUGGGAAUGGGAAGUCUCUGGUGGCUUACACAGGCGCCUCAAGCUCANNNNNNNNNNNNNNNNNNNNNNNNNNNNNNNNNNNNNNNNNNNNNNNNNNNNNNNNNNNNNNNNNNNNNNNNNNNNNNNNNNNNNNNNNNNNNNNNNNNNNNNNNNNNNNNNNNNNNNNNNNNNNNNNNNNNNNNNNNNNNNNNNNNNNNNNNNNNNNNNNNNNNNNNNNNNNNNNNNNNNNNNNNNNNNNNNNNNNNNNNNNNNNNNNNAUAAGCUUGUAUUGGAUACAUAAAAUAGUGGAGAAUCCCAGGAAGUUGAAUAAAUAUCUUAGGAGUUAGGAUGAAGAAGCUAUCCCAUUUUCAAAUAAGGUGAUCCCAGUUUUCCAGUUUGGGAAAAUGACAACUUCUUCGUCAUUCUUAUGAAACCAAGAUGAAUCGCGAAGUAAGAAACUUGAUUUUGAUACAUAAAGUUGUGGAGAAUCAUUAGGAAGUGGAAUAAAUCUCAUAGGAGUUAGGAUGAAGAAGCUAUCCCACUUUCAAAUCAGGUGAUCCCAGUUUUCCUGUUUGGGAAUAUGACAACUUCUUUGUCAUUCUAAUCAAACCAGUAUGAAUCGCGAGGUAAGAAGCUUGGUUUUGAUACAUAAAGUAGUGGAGAAUGACCAGGAAGUUGAAUAAAUGUCAUAGGAGUUAGGAUGAAGAAGGUAUCAGUGGAGAAUCACCUGGAAGUUGAAUAAAUCUCAUAGGAGUUGGGAUGAAGAAGCUAUCCCACUUUCAAAUACGGUGACCCCAGUUUUUCCUGUUUGGGAAUAUGACAACUUUUUUGUCAUUCAAAUCAAACCAGGAUGAAUCGCGAUGUAAGAAGAUUGAUUUUGAUACUUAAAGUAGUGGAGAAUCACCAAGAAUUUUAUUAAAUCUCAUAGGAGUUAAGAAGAAGAACCUAUCCCACUUUCAAAAUAAGGUGAACUCAGUUUUCCUGUUUGGGAAUAUGACAAAUUCUUUGUCAUUCUAAUCAAAGAAGGAUGAAUUACGAUGUAAGAAGCUUGAUUUUGAUACAUAAAGUAGUUCAGAAUCACUACGAAGUAGAAUAAAUCUCAUAGGAGUUAGGAUGAAGAAGCUAUCCUAGUUUUAAAUCAAGUUAUCCCAGCUUUCCUGUUUGGGAAUAUGACAACUUCUUCGUCAUUCUAAUCAAACCAGGAUGAUUCGCGACGUAAGAAGCAUGAUUUUGAUACAUAAUGUAGUGGAUAAUCACCAGGAAGUUGAAUAAAUUUCAUAGGAGUUAGGAUGAAGAAGCUAUCCCACUUUCAAAUAAGGUCAUCCCAUUUUUCCUGUUUGGUAAUAUGACAACUUCUUUCUCAUUCUAAUCAAACCAAUAAGAAUCGCGAUGUAAAGAAGCCUGAUUUUGAUACAUAAAGUAGUGGAGAAUGACCAGGAAGUUGAAUAAAUGUCAUAGGAGUUAGGAUGAAGAAGGUAUCUCACUUUCAAAAUAAGGUGAUCCCAGUUUUCCUGUUUGGGAAAAUGACAACUUCUUUGUCAUUCUAAUCAAACAAGGAUAAAUCGCGAUGUAAGAAGCUUGAUUUUGAUACAUAAAGUAGUGCAGAAUCACUAGGAAGUAGAAUAAAUCUCAUAGGAGUUAUGAUGAAGAAGCUAUCCCACUUUCAAAUCAGUUUAUCCCAGUUUUCCCGUUUGGGAAUAUGACAACUUCUUCAUCAUUCUAAUCAAAACAGGAUGAUUCGCGAUGUAAGAAGCUUGAUUCUGAUACAUAAAGUAGUGGAGAAUCACCAGGAAGUAGAAUAAAUCUCAUAGGAGUUAGGAUGAAGAAGCUAUCCCACUUUCAAAUCAGGUGAUCCCAGUUUUCAUGUUUGGGAAUAUGACAACUUUUUUGUCAUUCUAAUCAAACCAGGAUGAAUCGCGAUGUAAGUAGUUUGAUUUUGAUACAUAAAGUACUGGAGAAUCACCAGUAAGUUGAAUAAAUCUCAUAGGAGUUGGGAUGACGAAGCUAUCCCACUUUCAAAUAAGGUGAUCCUAUUUUUCAUGUUUGAGAAUAUGACAACUUCUUUGUCAUUCUAAUUAAACCAGUAUGAAUCGCGAUGUAAGAAGCUUGAUUUUGAUACAUAAAGUAGUGGAGAAUGACCAGGAAGUAGAAUAAAUGUCAUAGGAGUUAGGAUGAAGAAGGUAUCCCAUUUUCAAAAUAAGGUGAUCCCAGUUUUCCUGUUUGGGAAAAUGACAACUUCUUUGUCAUUCUAAUCAAACAAGGAUGAAUCACGAUGUAAGAUGCUUGUUUUUGAUACAUAAAGUAGUGCAGAAUCACUAGGAAGUAGAAUAAAUCUCAUAGGAGUUAGGAUGAAGAAGCUAUCCCACUUUCAAAUCAGGUUAUCCCAGUUUCCUGUUUCGGAAUAUGACAACUUCUUCGUCAUUCUAAUCAAACCAGGAUGAUUCGCGAUGUAAGAAGCUUGUUUUUGAUACAUAAAGUAGUGGAGAAUCACCAGGAAGUUGAAUAAAUCUCAUAGUAGUUAGGAUGAAGAAGCUAUCCGAAUUUCAAAUCAGGUGAUCCCAGUUUUUCUAUUUGGGAAUAUGACCACUUCUUCGUCAUUCUAAUAAAACCAGGAUGAAUCGCGAUGUAAGAAGCUUGAUUUUGAUACAUAAAGUAGUGGAGAAUCACCAGGAAGUUGAAUAAAUCUCUUAGGAGUUAGGAUGAAGAAGCUAUCCCACUUUCAAAUAAGGUGAUCCCAGUUUUCCUGUUUGAGAAUAUGACAACUUCUUCGUCAUUCUAAUCAAAGAAGGAUGAAUUGCGUUGUAAGAAGCCUGAUUUUGAUACAUAAAGUAGUGCAGAAUCACUAGGAAGUAGAAUAAAUCUCAUAGGACUCGUAAUGACCAUCAUGUGUGCGAAAAGCGGUUUUCUCAACAUUAGAUUCCUUCAUGCGAAUUUGGUGAUAACCGGAGCGUAGAUCAAGCUUAGUAAAC